UUGGAAACCAGAGACCAUCUAUUUUUCGAAUGUGAUUUUGCUAAGCUAUGCUGGCGUUAUCUGUGCCACAAUUGGUCUCCUACCACUUCAAGCAUUCAGGAACAGCUUGACUCCCGCAAAGACAGCCUACAUCAGCCUUUUUUCAUGGAUAUCAUUAUCCUAACGUCCUGGGCUAUUUGGACAACCAGGAACGACUUCAUCUUCAGAGGAAUUGCUCCAAAUCUUUAUGAGUGUAGGAGGAAAUUCUCGGAGAUCAAGCAAAGGGAAAUCCACGCAUGA
rnacentral:rRNA from 1 species